GGGGAUGUCCAAUAAUCGAUAGUUCGUUUCAGCAGUCCAUCCAUGCACGCCGGAGCGCCUGCGCCUCUGUCAAAACCGCAGGAAAUGAUAAGUGCCAAGAACACUAUCGCGAAGCUCCGAGACGCUGUGAGCAAUUCACUCGCGCGCCUCGCCUUUGCGCCCGCAGUCGCCUAAACGCCGACUGCCAUCCGCGUUUCCCGCGCCCGUAGGGAAGCAGCCGGGUGUCAACUUCGCGGGCUUGAUGGCGCGGGCUCCUCGCCGCGCCACGACCUUCUGCCGAGGAUUGGGUAACCGGCCUUUCGUCCGUUUCAUAACCGGUCACCGACAUGGAAAAGCGGACUUCGCGUGGAGACCGGAUGGAGUGCUCGGACUAGACGCGGGUGCAACCCCCGCCAUCUCCAUGA
rnacentral:tmRNA from 1 species